GACGAACGCUGGCGGCGUGCUUAACACAUGCAAGUCGAACGGUGAAGGGACUGGUUUUGCUGGUCCUGGAUGAGUGGCGAACGGGUGAGUAACACGUGAGUAACCUGCCCCCUUCUUCUGGAUAACCGCAUGAAAGUGUGGCUAAUACGGGAUAUUCUGGGUCUGUCGCAUGGUGGGCCUGGGAAAGAUUGCGCCUUUUUUGGUGUUUUUGGCGGGGGAUGGGCUCGCGGCCUAUCAGCUUGUUGGUGGGGUGAUGGCCUACCAAGGCGGUGACGGGUAGCCGGCCUGAGAGGGUGGACGGUCACACUGGGACUGAGACACGGCCCAGACUCCUACGGGAGGCAGCAGUGGGGAAUAUUGCACAAUGGGCGCAAGCCUGAUGCAGCGACGCCGCGUGAGGGAUGGAGGCCUUCGGGUUGUGAACCUCUUUCGCCAGUGAAGCAGGCCUGCCUCUUUUUGUGGGUGGGUUGACGGUAGCUGGAUAAGAAGCGCCGGCUAACUACGUG
rnacentral:rRNA from 1 species